GUUCCUGUAGCGCAAUGGAUAGCGAGUUAGAUUUCUAAUCCGAAUAUCGUGGAUUUGAAUUCCACUUGGAAUG